rnacentral:rRNA from 1 species
UCGAGAAUCUUCGGCAAUGGGCGCAAGCCUGACCGAGCGACGCCGCGUGCGGGAUGAAGGCCCUCGGGUUGUAAACCGCUGUCAGAGAGGAGGAAAGGCUGGAGGGUUCUCCCUUCAGUUUGACCUAUUCUCAGAGGAAGGACGGGCUAAGUUCGUGCCAGCAGCCGCGGUAAGACGAACCGUCCAAACGUUAUUCGGAUUCACUGGGCUUAAAGGGUGCGUAGGCGGCCCAGAAAGUUGGGUGUGAAAGCCCUCGGCUUAACCGAGGAAUUGCGCCCAAAACUACUGGGCUUGAGGAAGAUAGAGGUGAGCGGAACUUAGGGUGGAGCGGUGAAAUGCGUUGAUAUCCUAAGGAACACCUGUGGCGAAAGCGGCUCACUGGGUCUUUUCUGACGCUGAGGCACGAAAGCUAGGGGAGCGAAGAG